UUUUGACCUUUAUGCAUGAUGUUGCCCAUGACUCUGUACCUUUAAACCUUAAAAAUCUCUUCCGCUCCGCAAAUCAAGUUCAUUCGUAUAACACAAGGUUUAGUGGAUUUCC